rnacentral:rRNA from 1 species
UGCCAGCAGCCGCGGUAACACGGGGGGCGCAAGCGUUAUUCGGAAUUAUUGGGCGUAAAGCGCGCGUAGGCGGUUUUGUAAGUCGGAUGUGAAAUCCCUGGGCUUAACCUGGGAACUGCAUUCGAUACUGCAUAACUAGAGUAUGGUAGAGGGAAGUGGAAUUUCCGGUGUAGCGGUGAAAUGCGUAGAUAUCGGAAGGAACACCAGUGGCGAAGGCGACUUCCUGGACUGAUACUGACGCUGAGGAGCGAAAGCGUGGGGAGCGAACGGGAUUAGAUA